rnacentral:rRNA from 1 species
CAGCAGCCGCGGUAAUACAGAGGAUGCAAGCGUUAUCCGGAAUGAUUGGGCGUAAAGCGUCUGUAGGUGGCUUUUCAAGUCCGCCGUCAAAUCCCAGGGCUCAACCCUGGACAGGCGGUGGAAACUACCAAGCUGGAGUACGGUAGGGGCAGGGGGAAUUUCCGGUGGAGCGGUGAGAUGCGUUGAGAUCGGAAAGAACACCAACGGCGAAAGCACUCUGCUGGGCCGACGCUGACACUGAGAGACGAAAGCUAGGGGAGCAAAUGGGAUUAGAUACCCCGUGUAGUCCCUGUCUCUUAUU